rnacentral:tRNA from 1 species
CGAUGCCGGGCAGGGAUUCGAGUGUCUUCUCAACUUGGUGAGGUGAGGGACAAUGUUCAGGUCGAGUUGAUCGGCGGUGCGGCCGCCGGUGGCGC